rnacentral:tRNA from 3 species
AAGAGUAUAAUUUAAUUGGCAAAAUAGGAAGCUUCAACCUUCUACUUCUCAGUUCAAGUCUGAGUGCUCUUG